rnacentral:tRNA from 1 species
CGUGGGCGUAGCGCAGUCUGGAAGCGCGCUGGUACGUUGUACCAGAGGUCGUUGGUUCGAAUCCAACCGCCCCGACCA